AUACGGAGGGUCCGAGCGUUAUCCGGAAUUAUUGGGUUUAAAGGGUCCGCAGGCGGGCCAGUAAGUCAGGGGUGAAAGUUUGCGGCUUAACCGUAAAAUUGCCUUUGAUACUGCUGGUCUUGAGUUGCGGUGAAGUGGCCGGAAUAUGUGGUGUAGCGGUGAAAUGCAUAGAUAUCACAUAGAACACCGAUUGCGAAGGCAGGUCACUAACCGCCGACUGACGCUGAUGGACGAAAGCGUGGGGAGCGAACGGGAUUAGAUACCCCGGUAGUCCACGCCGUAAACGAUGGACACUAGCUGUCGGGCCUUUAUUGGUUCGGCGGCCCAGCGAAAGUGAUAAGUGUCCCACCUGGGGAGUACGUCGGCAACGAUGAA
rnacentral:rRNA from 1 species